GUCUCCGUAGUUCAAUGGAUAGAAUAUCGGAUUCCGGUUCCGACGAUUAGGGUUCGACUCCCUACGGGGAUACCA
rnacentral:tRNA from 1 species